AUUGAACGCUGGCGGCAGGCCUAACACAUGCAAGUCGAACGAGUGGCGGACGGGUGAGUAAUGUCUGGGACACUGCCUGAUGGGGGGGGAUAACUACUGGAAACGGUAGCUAAUACCGCAUACCAUCAGAUGUGCCCAGAUGGGAUUUGCUUGUUGGGGGGGUAACGGCUCACCAAGGCGACGAUCCCUAGCUGGUCUGAGAGGAUGACGAGCCACACUGGAAUUGAGACCGGGUCCAGACUCCUACGGGAGGCAGCAGUGGGGAAUAUUGCACAAUGGGCGAAAGCCUGACGCAGCCAUGCCGGGGGUAUGAAGAAGGCCUUCGGGUUGUAAAGUACUUUCAGCGGGGAGGCGUUACCCGAAGAAGAAGCACCGGCUAACUACGUGCCAGCAGCCGCGGUAAUUC
rnacentral:rRNA from 1 species